rnacentral:rRNA from 1 species
AUUGAACGCUGGCGGCAGGCCUAACACAUGCAAGUCGAGCGAGCGGCGGACGGGUGAGUCAUGUAUGGGGAUCUGCCCGAUAGAGGGGGCUAACUACUGGAAACGGUGGCUAAUACCGCAUACCAUCAGAUGAACCCAUAUGGGAUUAGCUUGUAGGUGAGGUAACGGCUCACCUAGGCGACGAUCCCUAGCUGGUCUGAGAGGGUGAUCAGACACACUGGGACUGAGACACGGCCCAGACGCCUACGGGAGGCAGCAGUGGGGAAUAUUGCGCAAUGGGCGCAAGCCUGAUACAGCAAUGCCGCGUGUAUGAAGAAGGCCUUAGGGUUGUAAAGUACUUUCAGCGGAGAGGCGUUACCCGCAGAAGAAGCACCGGCUAACUCCGUGCCAGCAGCCGCGGUAAUUC